rnacentral:lncRNA from 1 species
CGGCGUGUAUCUUGUUUACAACAAGAAAUCUGUGAGUUUAUGCUAACUUAACAUACAACAAGCGAGAAUUUUCCAUGUCAAUUUUUUACUGACAAGUCCCACAUCAAAUAUAUCAGUUCAUAGCUUUUGACCCAUACUAUAAUUUUAUGAUAGACAAUUUAUGGGGAGAAUACAACAUCAAAAAUGUCCAACUCUUACACUUAACAGCAACUAUUAAAUAUACAUGCCCCACGUCAAGAACCGUUUAAAAAGUGCAUUUUACACUUAUUU